CAGUAAGGUGAGGAUUUCCAUGGGUUGCAUACUCAUCUCAAAUGUUCCAGUCAUGUUUUCUGUAAGUUUCCCAAACCCUAGUUUCAUUUUGGCCAAACCUUUUCCCACUGGACUUAAAUUAUUUGAAAACUCUCCAAUCAUGCAGUUUUGACCCUUAUCAGGCUUAAUUUGUUCAUGUUCUCUUUCAGAUCAUGUUGCUUGAAUAGACAAGGAUUUUCUAUCAAUGACACAUGGGUCAAAGGCCCUGCCAGAAUUUCAAACUAUGCUAUCGUUGCUAAGGACAGAAUCUUUUGCUGAUUGAAAAACUAUGAGAUGAGCUGAAAUCAGACUAUUCAAGAUAACUGUCCUCAGAAUUUGUAAGGGGUGGAGAAGGGACACAGCAUCUGCUGUGCCAGGCCAUCAUCUCUGGAACUGGAUUCCUCAGUUGGACCAAAAGAAACAGAAUUUACUGACCUACAGGGCAUCCUGCAUGACUUAUUUAUUUACACACAUCUUUUUGGAGAAGGUUCACACAAAAAGUUGACAAAACCCAGAACUUGGCUGAAUUUUUUAUGGUAUUUAUCUCAACACCACACUUUAUUAUCUUCAAAGACUGUUGCCAAGAUUUCAGUGGUUUGAACCAAAGGUUAACCAAAUGUUAUAGCAACGAAAUGACUAAGCAACUAUGAUUCUGUUUCUGGGCUCUUGGUUGCUGUUUUAGAGAUGACAGCAUGUGAAAGAUUAAUAAAAUACUUUAUAUUCUUGUGGCCAUCCUACUACAUCUUUCAUGCAAACUCCCCGAAUGAAAUAAAACAUUCAAAACACAGAGUCAACAUAUUUCCUAUCCAAAGAAACAACAAUCCAUGCUGCUAUAAGGCACGAUUCCUUUGGCAUAUUGGCCAGUCAGUCGAUUAUCAUAGGACCAAACCCUGCCUUUACCUUCAUAGCAGAAAAGUAUCCCCAAGCAGCUGACCUAGUGUGGUUCUGCUGCACAAGAAAAAGAGGACAGGAUUUGCAGGCAAGUAUGCAAAGGGUUCAGAGCUUGGAAACAUGCAAGGGGGAGGGGCCCGAGAUGAAACAAAGGUAGGUGAGGGUACUCUUGUCUUCCCUUUCAGGAUGUGUCUACAUAACAGAUGGGAAGUUGCGAAGGUCAAAAGAAUGCCCUAAAAUUAGCAAUCUAGCCGUGGCUACACGGGCAAUGGCAUGGGCUAGCCACCUGACCACAAUCCUGCCUAAGCCCCUGGUUACAUACUGGACAGCUAGUACAAGCUGCUGCAGUCACACUGCUAUUUUCAGGCACUAGGUUGAGCUGAGCUGCAUGUGUAUGGCUACCCAAGCUGGGAAUUACACUUCCCAGCUGCUGGUAGCCAGAUCCUGAAAGGUGGGAAGCUGGGGCAAAAACUGCAUAAGCAGUUACAAUGGUUCAUUCACUAGAUACAUAACAGUGUACCAAUACUGUAGCAUACUAUAAUAUACAGUGAAUUCAGUAGAAUCACAUACACAGUAUCAACUGGUUUGCCUUAUUUUUUAUAUUCUAUAGAUAUAUGAU